rnacentral:ncRNA from 2 species
GUUAAGGUGGCCGCCGAUGGUUCCGCCCCUCGUGGGUGGAUGAAAAGGGAACAGGGUGCGGCGCAUGUCGCCAAUGCCCUGGCUGCCCCCGCAACUGUAAGCGGCGAGCGAAGCCCACAUGCCACUGACCUUCGGGUCGGGAAGGCGGGCGGAGCGUCGAGCCGCGAGCCAGGAGACCUGCCAUCGCACCUCCAACCAC